rnacentral:rRNA from 1 species
UACGUAGGGUGCAAGCGUUAAUCGGAAUUACUGGGCGUAAAGCGUGCGCAGGCGGUUAUGCAAGACAGAUGUGAAAUCCCCGGGCUCAACCUGGGAACUGCAUUUGUGACUGCAUGGCUAGAGUGCGGCAGAGGGGGAUGGAAUUCCGCGUGUAGCAGUGAAAUGCGUAGAUAUGCGGAGGAACACCGAUGGCGAAGGCAAUCCCCCUGGGCCUGCACUGACGCUCAUGCACGAAAGCGUGGGGGAGCAAACAGG